rnacentral:lncRNA from 1 species
AGAUCUACAUCGAGAGAUGGAGCUAAACUCACGGUGCCUAUGCUUCUUGGGCAGAAGGACUAUGCUAGACCAGCAGCACAGCUAAAAAUCCCAAAGGCAGUGUUGGAGAAAAUUAAUCAGAUAGCCGUAUUCAGCUGGCAGAGUUUACCUCCACCUAGGGCUACGUUCACAGUCCUUUCAGGAAUUAGGCGAAAGCAUGAUGAGUCUUAUGAAGGUUUUGUGGCUAGAUUGGAAGAGGCAGUUUCUAAGAUGCUUUCCCCCUCGGAAGGAACUGAUAUAUUAAUAAAACAAUUGGCUUGGGAAAACGUAAAUACCUUGUGCCAAGACCUGAACAGACCAAUCUGUAAGACAAGUUCCCUACAAGAUUAUAUUAAAGCAUGUGUAGAUGCCUCACCGGCUGUAAUUCAGGAUCUAGUUUACGCCGCAGCAAAGAAAGGGAAGACAUUCGGCGCUACUGAUGGAAUUACAUGUUUCGGUUGUAAAAAACCGGGACACCUGAGAGAUUGUAAAAAUCUCUCAGGAGACAAGAAUAGCAUUCCUUUAGGUCCCUUCCAGCGUUGUGACAAACACUGGAGAAGUGAAUGUAAACCAAAGUCCCAUAAGGAUGGGACUCCGCUCACAAAAGAAGCGGAUAAGACAGAGAACUAUGGAACUGCAUCUUUCGGUUGUAAAAAACCGGGGCACCUGAGUAAAGAUUGUAAGAAUCCCUCGGGAAACAAGAAGGGCCUUUCUCCAGGUCUCUGUCCAGGCUGUGGUGGAGAGAACCUUGGAGGAAUGAUUACAAGUCAAAGUCCCAUAAAGAUGGGACUCAGCUCACAAAAGAGGCGGGUAAGACAAAAAACUAAAGGGGCAAUCUCUUAGCCCCAUUCAGGAACUGUAGAGCUCAUUAUAGGACACAGCUCCAGUUAUAAGAAAAACUUCAAGUGGUGGAUUCUGAUACUUUAGGUAAAAUUAAAAGUUAUGGUUAAAUUAUGGUUAAAGUAUAAAAAGAGACUUCAUAAAGGUCAAAAUAUAGCUCACUUCUUACUGUUACCUUAUUUACAAUUUCCCAAUCCUACAUUGUGUCAAAAAAUUCGUAGAAGAGGCUUAUUUGAAAGUUAAGUCAUCUCCUCAAACAUAUAUAAUUCAUUCUAUAGAUAGUAUUUUUGUUGGUUGCAGAAAGUAGAGAGCGUUUUGCAGAUGGCUAUAAAAUAUUUGACUUAGUGUGGACUGAUUGCUUCAAAAAAGAUUCAGCAUGGUAAACUUCUAGGCUAUUUGAGACAUUUUGUGUAUAGAGAUUGUGUGUUUUCUAAAAAAUUUGCCCUCAGAUUAAAUAAAUUAGAAGUUUUAGAUGCUUGCAAAAGCUGUUAGAAAAUUCUAGAUUUUAAUCUUGGUUUGACAAGCUACCUCUUACAAGCAAAAAAAGAAAGAGAUAGAAAAAAAUGGAUUUAAAAACUCUCCCAGGGACAGAGAGAAAUCGGGGGACGCCCUGUUUUAUUCUCUCUGGCCCCUACAGGAGGAAUUCUCUACCCCCUUUAUGUAUUGUCUAAUGGUUGGUGCACCAAUCACGUGUCAAUUCAUGUAUGUUUUCUGUCUCAUUGUCUGAAUGAUUGUUUCGUUGUCUGAAUGACUGACUGUUUUAUGUUUCAUGUU